UUACGUCCAUAUCUCGCGGAAACAUCGUUUUCCGUACGAUCACCGCAGUUAAGCAACGCCGAGUCUGAUCAGUACUUAGAUGGGUGACUUCUAGGAAAUACGAGGACUG